UGACAGCGGCCCUUUGCAGUGUCCUUCUGCAUGCACAGAGAGAUCACUAAAGACAGUAGUAAGACAGCUGUUUUCAACCUGGUGAGGGGAGCUUCACCAGAUUUCAAAUUUUUCCUGCACUUUGCACUUGGACUUCUAGCAUCUAGAACUAUCUGAAAAUACAUUUCUGUAAUUCGGCCACCUAAUCAGUGGUAUUUUUGUUAUGGUAGCUGUUAUAAUUGGAAAGCAAAAUAUCCCCUCCAAAUCCUCAUGGUGCUGAAGGCUUGAUUUCUGACAAGCAUUUGGAAAAGGAAUUCUACAUUGCUGUAGGGUGCUCCACAGCAGGGGUCUCUAACCUCCUGGCCACAGAUCAGUAUUGGUCCAUGGCUCAUUAGGAACCAAGCUGCACAACAGGAGGAAUGGAAAGUAUGUGUCAAAGGCAGAGAACAGAGAUUACUCAGAAGGUGGAGAGAAAUGAUUCUCAGGCACUUGCACCACAGCCUGCCUUCUUGUCUCAGUCCCAGGAGAAAGCACUUCCUCUGGAGGGACACUACUGUGUGAUUUGAUCUUUUCUUCUUGAGGAUAUUUAUCCUUUUGUGAAGGUUUCAUACUUCAGUUUGUAUUUCCAAAAGCCUGGAUCUUUCUAGUUCUUGUAUCUGCUUCCAAGUGGUAUUUUAAAGAUUGGAAUCUUUAACCCUAACCCCAAAGAACUUUCUCUGACUCUAGUCAAGAAAAAAUAAAAAGAAGAAUUAGAAUGGACCACUGAGUUAUCAGUGUGCUGAUGUUUGAUGAAGAACUUGAAUCUAACGAGCCUCUGUGGGUGUUGUGCCCAGUGGGUCUGGAGCCUAAGAGGUCCCCAGACUCAGCCUGGCUAAGGCUUGUCUCUAUCAGAUUUAGAAAGAGGAAAAAGAGUCAGAGAACACCAGUGCAAAGUGAAAGUAAUUUUAGGAUAUGUAUUGCAAGACAGGAUAAAAGCCAUCCGGGGAAGGAAUGAGAUGAUUCGAGCUGGGACAGAGCUGAAUCUAGGGCCCUUGUCCUGUGUUAUAGGCAGGAUCCCAUCUCCAGCCCCAAGGGGUAACACCUGAUUGACUGGAUAGUAGGCUUGUUGGUAGGGAUUUGGUCUUGCGGGCUAAUAGGGGAAUUUGGGUAGGCAUGACAACCUGCACCAGGAGGGACAGUGGCAGGUGUCAAAACCACAAGCUGCCAGCUUCAAACCACAAAGCUGCUUAAAAACUGCUUUCUCCUCAUAGCUGCCCAGAGGCUGCUUUUCCUACCCAAUGAGAUGAAAGGGCUUUGGGUCUUUAACUCUCCCCAGGGGUCCCUUCUGUCCCUGCAGUGGGCUUCCUUUCUUGGCUCAAGUGUGGCUGGGUGGAAAGCCAGGUGGGCCAGCUGUGGGACUCAGGAGUGUGAGCUGUCAGUGAGAAGGGACCAGGCCAGCGGCCUGUGGUGCUGCUUCAGCCCUGCCUAUCCAGUUCCGUUUGUAGUUUGCCUCGUAAAGUGAUACUCUUAUUUUUAAUAAAAUGACUUUUUAUUUCAAAACUAACAGAGUAAAAACAAGAUAAGAUUCAUAGUUUAACUUGAUUGUUUCGGCAAAGACACACUCAACACAACAGUGUCUAAUCAGACUAUCACUUGGAGCGAAUUGGAAUUACACGCCGCAUAACCAAAUGUUCUGCUUUGCCUGUGUACACAAGUGAAAGGGUAAAAGAUAGCAUCUUUUAAGGCAUUUGGAGCUGCUGCUUACAGGCACUAUUUGGACAUGUUUUCAAAUACUUUUCAUUUUAUUUGCUACCACAACCUUACUUUCAAAGAUAUUUUGGGAGCAACGUGACCACAAGCUCACAGAUACUGAAGAAGGUAUUUUUCCUCCAGUCACGUCUGAAGCUCUUUUGCUUUAUGUGUGAGAAUAACAUGCCUGAGUAUGUUACAUUUUAUUUACAUAUCAUUUUUAUCCUUCUAAGUGGAAUGGUUACUUUUUAGCUUUAUAAAUCUGCAUGAAUUUUUAAACAGUUUUAGUUUUCUAUCUGUGAUAAUUAUUUUAAAACAUUGUGUUGGGAUGAAUCACGUAUUUCCUGUUAAAUUUGCUGCAACAUUGUUUUAAGUAGAUUUUUAUUUAUUCAUUCAGUUUUCAAGAAUGAAUUAAAAAUAUAGGUGAAUAAUAGGUGCCUUGAUUUUAGAUUCUUGACUUUUUUCUGCACGCAAUGUAAUAUUCUUAAUUAAGAUUUUGGUGCUUUUGGUGCAGUGAGUGUUUAUAAAUUGACCUUUUAAAGUAAUGGUAUUUCAUAUAUAUGGUAUUUCAUAUAUAUAUAUAUGAAAAGUGGUCAAAGAUUUCUUCUGAUGUGUAGUGCUAAUAAGCCAAGACCCUGCUUUAAACUUCAGGAAGCUAUGAUAUUCAUCUUUUGACCACCAUUCAUGAAUUAGAGCAGAGAAAAUAAAUAAGAACCAUAGUUUAUUAUAUAGAAUCAGAAAAUAGCCAAAAUAGCAAAAGCAACAAAAAUAAAAGCAUCAUAAUCCUGGAUUCCAAGUUGUUCUACAAAUCUACAGUGAUUAAAAAUGGCAUAGUAGUGGGCUGGGGAUUUAACGCAGCGGCAUAAGUACCUGCCUGGCAAAGGUGAGUUUGGGAAUUAGAUUUCAGGUACCAUAAAAAAAAGAAAAGAAAAGAAGAAAGAAUGAAAGAAAGAAAGAAAGGAAGAAAGAAAGAAAGAAAGAAAGAAAGAAAGAAAGAAAGAAAGAAAGAAAAAGAAAGGCAUUGUACUGGCACACAAACAGAUUUUUGAUCCAUAGCACAACACCGAGGAUGCAGUAACAACUCCAGGCACUUGCAACCAUCUUAUCUUCAAAAAAAGGAUGAAAACAUGAUGGAGAAAAGAUAGUCUCUUUAAUAGAAAGUUCUGGAAUACUGGUUAUUCCAGAAGAAUGAAUUUAGAUCCAUAUUGCUUGCCCUUACUAAAAUCACAUCAAAAUGGAUCAACAGCUUAUAUAUAAAAAUAGAAAUACUGAAUCUGCUGAAAGAAAAACAUGACAAAAAAACCUGAAGGCAUAGGCAUAUGGAAGGAUUUUCUGAAAAUUACCCCAGCUGAGCAAGAAAUAACACCAACAACCAACAAAGUGUGUCAACAUCAAAUUAAAACCUUCUUCAAAGCAAAGGAAACAAACAGCAAUGAAGAGAUCAUCAAAAGAAUGGGGAAAAUGUGGCAGUUACUCCUCAGACAAAGAACUCAAAUGUAGACUACAUAAGUCACUCAAAAUAAUUAAGAUUCCCAAAAAACAAAAGACGCAAUUAGAAAAUGGGCAAGUGAAAUGAAUGGACAAUUCUUAGAAGAAGUGCAAGUGGUCAGCAGGUAAAUGGAAAAAUUCUGGCAUCUUUGAUCGUUAGAGAACUGCAGAUCAAGACAAUACUGAACUUCCAUUUUACUCCAGAAAGAAUGCCUGUCAUCAUGGAGUCAACCCAGCAAAUGGUGGCAAGCUUGUGGGGAAAAAGAAAUCCUUCUUGAUUGUUAAAUGUUCUACUGGUUUAAAACUAGUUCAGCCACUAUAAAAAUCAGUAUGGUGAUUCAACAAAAAAUAAAGAAGAAAUUUUAUCCAGAUAUCUGUUCUGGAUAUCUCCCCAAAAGAAUAAAAGAAGACAUUAUAUUACAAUGAUUCCAUGUUUAUAGCAGCACAAUUCAUAAUCACUAAAUCUUGGAAGUAGUCCAUAUCAACAGAGGAAUGGAUAAAGAAAAUGUGGGCUAUAAUAUAUAUAUAUAUUACACAUUAUGUGGAGAUAUAUAUAUAUGUAUAGUUCUGUAUAUGUAUGUUCUAUCCAGCCAUAAUGAAGGAUAAAUUUGAGUUGAUUGCAGGCAAUGGAUGCACCUUGAGUGUAUAAUGCUAAGUGAGCUAAAUGAGUUCUUGUCUAUGAGAGAUGCAAAGUACAAAUAAUAUAAAAAGUGAAUGAGAAGGUAUAUGACAGGAAACAUGGGGAUAGACUAUGGAGCUAGGACGAGGAUUUGCAGGUGAGGGGAGAUGUGUGAGAGGCAAGGCGAAGUAAAUAAACUCAAGAUGUGAUGUGCAUUUGUACCAGCUCCUCACAGUGAAUACACUUAUUGUGUGGUACAAACAUUAAUAAUAAAAGCUUUUUAAAAGCUACCAAACUACAAUAGCUCAUUCAGUGGUAACAUCAGGCUCUAUUCUAGGUAAAUUAAUAUUUGAAUUGUAUUUGAAUUUGUAAGAGUUCUACCACUUGUGUAUUAUUAUUUAUCUUUACUGUACUUAUUUAGGAAAAUUGGGGUUUGGGGAAGAUUUAUUUAAUUUCUCUCUUCCUCCCCUUUGCCCAAUUCUAUGUGGAAUUUAAAACCAUGUUUCAGAGUAACAUGCUUAAUGUUCCCUCCUAAAAGUGCUGAGUCACUUGGCAGUGAGACUUACAGAACUUCAAACCCUAUACAUACUCAUCCCUUUCACUGAUACACUAUGGAAUCAAGGGAUGUGUUUUCCCCCAGUUCCCAAUGAUUGUGGAAAUUCUAUGAGUUCUCCAAACAUGGUUUCUUGCCAAUCAGAGAACAACUGAUCACUCUAUAGCAGGACAGCUGGAUUCUUGAGGUCCUGAAGUCAGCAUGAGGACUCCUUGACCCAUGUAGGGAGCUCGAGAGACACAUCAAGCUCUGGAAAUGGUUGAGGUGAGCUUUCUGCCCUUGAUUGUCUUGAGCAUGUUGAAGUGUUUCCUGAGUUAUGUUAAACGUUCCAGGAAAGCUCAGCAAUUUCUUGAACACUCUCUCCUUAUGUGUAUUUCAUUUUCUUAAGGCAGCUAGAAAGAUCCUUUUUUAUUAUCGGUAUUCAGACUAUCAGGAGGACGAGUGCAGUUUGAGAAGAAAGCGGUUGCAGGGUACUUGCUGUCCUUGGAGGAAACAUUUCCAUUCCUGGUAAUGGUGAGGGAAUGCAUUAGCAUCAGAUUUGGAAGCAUUAAGAACUGUGAUAGCCAGUGAUGAACUGAAGAUCACAUGUUCCACCUAAGAGAUGGAUUGCUCCUCCCUGUUGUUGGAAUCUUUGAUUUUUCAAAGUCAUAAAUUCAUACUUUUAAAAUGAUCAUCAUAAUUUUUGAAUAGUAGGCUUAUUUUUUAAAGUACUGUAUUCAUCAAACAAAAUAGGCCCAGGCUGAAUCAGGCUCUGAAGCAUAAACUAACAUGACAAGUACCUAGCAAAUAUUUCUUAAUUAUCUUUGUGAAAGAAAACAUGAGUCUGUCUAUACUUCCCAUAUCUCACACCCAUUAAAUUCUUCCACUGAAUUGGAAAUAAUGAAAUGAAAAAGACAUCUUGAGUUAUUUAGGAAACUGACCUGUGUGGGUGCAAAAGGAGAGUUCUAUUUAAGAUGGAAUGGAGCCUCAGAUUAUUCUUUCAAAAUUAAACUUCAUAAUAGUUGAAUCAUAAGUGCUUUACACUCUAAAACAUUCUGUCAGUUAUAAAAAGUGAACCCAGAGUUUAUGAGGGCUACACUGGUGCAGAACCCCAAUGGUGCAAAAAAUAACAAAUGUGAUUAUAUCAAAUUAAAAAGCUUCUGCCCAGCAAACGAAACAAACAGCGGAGUGAAGAGAAAAAAUACAAAGUGCAAAACAAAAUUUUGCAGCUGCUGCUUGGACAGAGGACUAACACCUAGAAUGUAGGGGACCACCCAGAUGCCUCUCCUUGAAUGAAGAGCAGUUACCUCCAUUUUGACUAUACCUGGCCCCGUCUCCACAUACUGAUAUGUACAGAGCUGGCUAGCCCAUUUCUUUAUCCCUUAAACUGGUUUUAAGCAAUGUAAAUAGGGCUGGCUGAGGUGCUGAUGUGUAAUCUUUGAAGUUCCACUUUCCGUGACUCCCAAAAAACAGGGUUGAACCGGGUGAGAUGAAAAACCGCCGCUGCACAGCUGUCAACUGGGAUUGAGCCUUGAGGUAAGAGGCUAUGAUUUCUCAGGGAAGAAAAAUAAACACAUCAGAGCUGAAGCACAAACCCCAAAAUGUGAGCUUUAACCUCAAGUGUGUUACGCAGGUAAGUCUUUCUCCAUAUCCUUCUCUCUGCAUCUUGCAGAGGUGAUUUCAGGUCUCUGCACAGUGUUACCACAUUUCCCAUCAUUCUCACAGCCACUCCCUUCUUUACAAAUUAAUAAAACUCAGAUUGGACCCUGAGUCGAGGCCUUUGUUCUGAUGAACCUUCAUCCUGGCUGGAGUUAGGACCCCUGGGCUCCCCAUAACGAUCAAUAUGUCUUAGUGUCUUUAUUCUCACGGUGGGUUGCACGGAAACUGGUAGAUUGGAAUUAACUUAUUGAAAUUUCAAUAACUUUUCCAUAGGAUAACAAAUAUAAACUUCCCAACUGAGAGGAGGAACAAGAAGAGCUCUCUAUGUACAAUAUAUAAAGAACUAAACGAAAUUAACCCCUCAAUAAAAGACCCAAUGAAAAAAGAGGCAACCAAAAUGAAUAGACACCUCUGAGUGGACAUACAGAUGACCAAUAAAUACAUGGGACAAAUGGUCAAUAUCAUUGGCCAUUAGAGAUAUGCAAAUUAAAACAGUAUUGAGAUUCUUUCUCACUCCAGAAAGAAUUAUUAUCAUCAGGGAAUUAGAAUACAAAUGCUGUUGAGGAUGUGUGGAGAAGGAACCCUUCCUUCUACACUGUUGGUGGGAAUAUAAACUAGUACAACCAUUGUGGAAAUCAGUGUGGAGAUUUCUAAAAAAUUCCAAAAACAAAAAUAUAAGAGAAGCCAUGCAAUGUGCUGGUUGGAGUCAUCGCUGCCCAUCUCAUGGCUGCCCGACCCACAGGCCCCUUCCAUUCUAGAUGCUCUCUGCUGCUCUUUGUCACUCCCAGCACACAGGAAUGUUCUUCAUGACAGGAGUCCCUGUGCCCAUUACCUCAGCCCACUGCAGACAGCUGGUGGUCAGUUCUGGAAAACUGCCAGGAUGCGGGGACUAAGGUGCAGGUCUGCCUCUUGCAGGAUACCAUUUUCCUCUAUUUUUACUUUAGUGACCCAAUGCCUGUGUUCCUCAGCAUUUUUCAAGCGUGUGUGGUAUUUUCUUCCAGCCCUCUCCUCUGCAAUGAACUUAGGCUCUUGGAGAAACAAUUGAGAAUGUUCAGAUUUUAUUGCAGCUCUGUCUCGUCUUAGUGCAAGAUCAAAGCCUGCUAUUGGAUUGAUUAGAGAAAAGGGGAAAUUUCAGAGAGAACAAACACUAAUGUAUCAUUUUCCAGCCUCACACAUCCUAGUUGGCACAAAGAAUUUGAGCAUUGGUUUUCAUGUUCACACUUUGGACAUGAGAGGUCCAGAAGGGACCCAGUUUUGGGUUACUGAUAGUUCAUGCAGGUCAUGGGAAGCCCAAUUGGCUGGAUUCUCUCUAGUCCAUGGUUCCCGGCUCUGCUCCUUACCGUGUAGCUCUCUGUCCAUUGCAUCUUUUACUUGUAGCUGUAACUAUGCCUUGAUACUAAAUGGACAACUUGCACACAAGUUGUCAGAUGGGUUUAUCCUCAAACCAUGCUCUCUACUGACCUUACUAUACCUGAAGAGGAAUUGAUGACCUCUGCUGAACCACCUGGGCAUUUCACUCAGUUCAGAACAAAGACUGAUAGGUCCAGCUACUAACCCCAAAAGUUGUCCUUUUCCGACUGAAUCCUUGGCUGUUAUUGCUUAGCACAAAUGUUCUAUUCUCUGACACAAAUGGGCCAUCACCUUGUCCUUGGCAAAAGCCACUGGCAUUUGCUCAUGUAGCUUCUUUUCUCCUGGAACCGUUUUCCAUUUUCCAGGAUGACAAUUAUUUUCCUCUUUUUAGAGAGGUAUGCUUUUUUUAAAAAAAGAAAAGCAAGAUAGGGUCACAAUAUUUGUUAAUAUAAUUACUCACUUUCUCGUUUUACCAAGUAGCUUGCUUGGUCAAUGACUGAAAAAAAAAUUAAUCAGUGGAAUUUCUACCUUCAAUGUGGAGACCUGUUGAAAAGUGGUACUUGGACACUUCUAUUUGGAUGUGAGUCUGUGGCCUAUUGGCCUCUUGCAAGCAGUUCGCUCCUGGCUUUCUGUAUUAUAUAACACCAAAGCGGAAGAAGUCUUCUGUCGCAUUCAAGGUUUCAUUCCUUUUAUAUUUUUCCCCUUUCUCUCACUUGGCACAUGCUGUAUUGCUUUCCUGAAGCUGUUUACAAUGUAGAAGAUUAAUGUCUCUCAUGGGCGGAUUCCUGCUUCUUUCCCCAUGAAUUGCAUGAGAACACUGCAUCUGGUGGAACUGGUCAAAGGAAGGAGCAAGUCUAGUGCCCUGAGAAGAAUGAGGGCAUGGCAGUUAAUCCUGCGGUGUCAGAACAAAGCAAACACAAGGCUCCUUGGCUUCCUCUGGGGUUCAGUGUCACAGUCAACUUGUCGUUUCCUGAUUUUGGCAGACCCUGAACCCAGGACAAGCCUAUAUUAUGUUUAUUUGUUUCUACAGCUUUAUGGUUGCCUCCUGCAUAGAACAAUGAGUACUGAAGAGGCUGGAUGUGUCACCAGUCACAUGGCGUCCUUGUGCACUUCUGGAGUGGAAAUGGACCAAUUCUUCUGGAAUGCUUUUCUGUCUGAGGAGCCACCUAUUUGUAAAUGUUUCCCUAGAGCUUCCGUUUAAUCAGGGGCUCAUUUCCCAGAGUCCAAGUGUGCAUAAAACAUGGAUUGUAGGCCGGGGAACCCAGAGAAGGUAAACAAAGAAACUGUUUUUCAAUGCACAAGAAUUUGGAUUGAAGAGUUACAUGGUCUUUAAAAUACAAACAUAAAUAAAGGAGUUUUUAUUUAAGAGUUGACUUAAUACCAGUAAGUGGAUAAUAAUAUGACAGAAAAAUAAAACACAUGGUUGAAUAUUUCAGAUUUUAUUUUUCUCAUUUAUUCAUUUAUCAGCGGAUGUUGCUUGAAUCAGAGGAUGUUGUUGAAUCAGAAAAUAUUGUUUGAAUAUUUGCUAUCUGCUAGUCAUGUUGACUGCAAGGGUGAAUUGACUGACAGACAACAGCUGUCAAACAUAUUUUGGUUUAGUUUUAUGUUCUGUAGAUCUUCACUGAGAUUUUAAAAAUGUUUAAGUAAUAUAAAAUAGUCAUUGGAAAAAACAGAAUAGUGAAUCACAUGAAGAAGUAGAAUUACCUCCUCCCUAUUUCUCUAGAGUUAGACUUAUUGAUAAUUUGAAGAUUAUUCCCUCAAUUCAGUCUCAAUACAUUUUCUAUAUAUUAACAAUGUUUCACAAUAUUUUACAGAAAUAGAAUGAGAUUACACAAACUUUUCUGGAAGAAUUUUUACUUACUAGUGUUUUGUGAAAUUUCUAUGCUAGUACAUUGUGAUUUUCCAUAUAAUUUCGGAAUCUAAUGGAACAUGUUAGCAUGUGAAUGACUGAAAUUUAUUAAACCUGUUGUCUAUUGAAGACCAUUUAGGUUUGUUUUGUCCAUUGCUGUUACUUCAUUUCUUUAAAUUUAUAAAGACUAGAAUAAACUUCCUUGCAUUUGUCUGUGCAUACAGUCUUAAUAUUAUUAAACUACAGAGUAAUGUGCAUAUUUUAAAUUUUGACAACUAUCUUCUUAAAAUUUACAUUGAUAUUGAUGUGUGAGCAUUCUUAGCUUUAAAAUAUCCAGUAAUCCCUGCUAUGAAAGACUAAUAACUAAACUCUUUUACAUACUUCUUCCCAUUCUCUUUCCAAUGCACAUUUUUAAAAAAUUCAGUUCUUGUAUUACCUAAUUUUAUUAGGUAAUUCACCAUUUUCAUGGCUUACUAUUUCUUAGACAUUUAUAUUAGAUAGGAUCUUCUUUCUCCAAUAUGUAGGAAACAAAUUAAUACUCCUCAAUUUGCCUGUAUGCUAAUUCUUGCAUUUUCUUAAAGCCCUUAUAUUUGAGCUCUCUGCUGUCUUUUAGACUGAAUUUGAAGUUCAAAAGUCAAUAACUAGAAUUUCUACUACUUUAACUAUAAAAAAUCACUAUUCAGAGCUGAGCCACUAAUUCUGUAGACGUUAGGGUGUUUCACGGUAUUUUAGCCAUGCCAUACGAAGGACAAUAUUGUAAGCCUGAGUGUAAAAAGAUGCUAUUUUCUCUCAUUUCAUUAACACAACCUUCAAGAACAGUUUUUUUCCCCCUCUUCCUUCUAGAAUUUCUAGUUGCCUUUCUUUUGUUUUGAAUAAGUAAUAACUAUUCAUUUAUAUUUUUCCUAAUACUUCUCUAUUAAUUUCCUGGAAUUUAUCUGUGGAGUAUUACAUUAUAUUCAGAUUUCCUACUUUAGGGUCUUUUAAAAAAUAAAUUAACAAUAUUUUUAAUAGGAAAAAAAAGAAUGGAAACAAAGUUUUUGUAAACAGGGAGGAGAAAAGGGUUGAAGGGAGGGGAGGGGACUGAGGAAAAAAGAAGAGUCAAGAAAUAUUAUGUACAGGUACAAAUUCCUUAUGAAUGUGAUCAUUAUGUUUAUCUAAAAUGUACCAAUAAAAUUAAUUUAAAAAUACAUAUAUCAAAAUAUAUUAUUCAUUUUCCUAUGUGUUAAAUUUAUGUGAACUGUUGAAUAGUGAUUCUUUUAAAUUCAUCUUUGAUUAUCCUUCCCUUCAAAAUUUUACUUGCUUAUGUUUAUCUUAUUACUUAAGCAAACUUACUGUUAAUGUACAUCUCAAAGACUGUCUUGAAUUUAUUUUCUCUAUCUGUCUGUCUGUCUGUCUCUCGUCUUCCUCUCUCCUCUGUAGGGAUUAACUAAUCCAGGACCUUUGCAGUGAGUUACACCUCUAGCCCUUUUUUAGUUUUUAUUUUGAGAUAGAAUCUCACCAAGUCACUUAAAUUCCCUUACUGAACCUGAACUUGGAAUUAUCCUGCUCAGACCUCUAGAACCCCUGAAAUUAUA